UACCACAGCAUGGUGUGCCAGGCGGUGCCAUGUCCGUACCUGGGAUCCGAACGGGCGAACCCCGGGCCGCCGAGAAGUGGAACGUGCGAACUUAACUGCUACGCCACCAGCCCAGCCCCAUCUCUCAUGACCUUUUUUGGACGAGGGCUACCCUGGGAAAAGCAUGACCUCAUGACCUGAAGUGGAGGCCAACCCGGAAGUGGCAGACACUUGGCAUCUGAACACACUCUCCACAGCUGGGCAGCAGGUCCGUCCUUCCUUAAACAGAGAUCAGAAUGGUGUAUUCUCCAUGUCCACCACACUGAGCGAAAUUAGCACUAUCCUGGAUGUGGUGUUUAUCAUUCUAAGGUAAUGUUUAAAUUUUACUACUUCAAAUGUAUAUGUGUGUACAUGUGCCCUUAAACAUUAUAAAGUAUUGUUUAUAUUUUUAAAUUUUAAAUGUUUACUUUUAAUAAUUAAAAAUGUAUAUAUGGUAUCAUAGUGGAUGUGUAUUCUCCUGCACCUUGC